rnacentral:rRNA from 1 species
GCAUGAGGUACACGAGUGGCGCACGGGUGCGUAACGUGUAUGCAACCUCGCCCCCAAACCCGGGACAAAACAGCUGGAAACGGCUGCUAAUAUCCCAUAGCCACGCGGGAGGGGCAUCCUCCUGUGUGUAAAGAUUCAUUGGUUGGGGAUGGGCAUGCGUAUUAUUAGGUAGUUGGCGGGUAACGGCCCACCAAGCCGACGAUGAUUAGGGGUCCUGAGAGGGUUAACCCCCACACUGGAACUGAGACACGGUCCAGACUCCUACGGGAGGCAGCAGUAGGGAAUAUUGGGCAAUGGGAGCAAUCCUGACCCAGCCAUGCCCGCGUGAAGGAAGACGGCCCUAUGGGUUGUAAACUUCUUUUGCCGCAGAGUAAACCCGGGGACGUGUCCCCGGUUGAGAGUAUGCGGCGAAUAAGUAUCGGCUAACUCCGUGCCAGCAGCAGC